AAUAUUGGACAAUGGGGGCAACCCUGAUCCAGCCAUGCCGCGUGUGUGAAGAAGGUCUUCGGAUUGUAAAGCACUUUAAGUUGGGAGGAAGGGCCUUAGGUUAAUACCCUGAAGUUUUGACGUUACCAACAGAAUAAGCACCGGCUAACUCUGUUCCAGCAGACGCGGUAAUACAGAGGAUGCAAGCGUUAAUCGGAUAUACUGGGAGUAAAGCGCGCGUAGGUGGUUCAGUAAGAUGUGUGUGAAAUCCCCGGGCUUAACCUGGGAACUGCUUUCAUAACUGCUGAGCUAGAGUACGGUAGAGGGUAGUGGAAUUUCCUGUGUAGCGGUGAAAUGCGUAGAUAUAGGAAGGAACACCAGUGGCGAAGGCGACUACCUGGACUGAUACUGACACUGAGGUGCGAAAGCGUGGGGAGCAAA
rnacentral:rRNA from 1 species